rnacentral:lncRNA from 1 species
AUUCAAGGUUUCAAUGUAAACUAACUGAUGUCUGUCUCAUAUUUAAACAGCUACACUGUUGAGUCAAAGACUCAUCAGCUCAACCUUCAUAUAAACCAUGCCCAAUUCAUAUCUCUUGCUGUUGCUGGCUGCUGUGUCUUGUAUUGACUGUCAGGUUGUGCUCACACAGUCUGAACAGUCAGUAGUUGUGGCUCCAGGUGGUUCCUACAAACUGACCUGUGCCUGCAGUGGGUUCCUCAAAGGAACUCAAGCUGCAUCGCAGGACGCUUUGGGAACGCCCUUCAGCGUGACUGGCCCUGAAUCAUGUGUGUAAUCUGUCCAAUGGAUGGGCGAGACGUCAUAGGCGGGUGACGUCAGAGACCAGAAAGCUUAAAAGCACAUGCUCCAUUAUGUCAAAGCUUCAGUCAAGACAAGUUUUGGGGGAGAGCAGGCAGCGUUCAGGCUGUGUGUUUUCCCUGCCCGCAAAGAAAAAAAAGGGGUAGGGACGUUGUGUUCACGGGUUUCACUUUCAGAUCCGGUCGAAAGGAAUGUAGACGGGCAAAUCCUUAUCUUCUUCCUUAACCACCAGAUCCGGUGCUGAUAUUAUAAUGGGCAGCAUUAAUUUAAUUCUAUAUAUAAUAUAAUGAAAUAUUUAUCUGACUAUGCGAAGUAAGAUACACAGGGGCUCUUGGGAUAUAAUUUCUCGAAUGAGAACACAUGUUUACCUCUCUUCCUCUGAGGAGGUUGAGGCGGUCAGCAAGGGCUGCUGGGAGGGACCAGUCACAACUACACCAUGUUCCAGCCCCUCGUGCUGGGGGUGUCACUUCUCAUAAGCCGCAGAAUCUAGAGUCAGAGUGGCGCUCCCAGGCCGAAGGCUUCUAGCGGAAGGCGGUUCUGCGGACCAUCAUUCUCGCUGGAUAGUCUUUGUCAUAAAUGUCCUGACGCCUAAGGCCUAGGACUUUUUAAGGGCCAGCUCCCUCUGGGGAAGAGCGGAUUACACGGUGCCCGUUUCUCCUCAGUGCCCUCAGGAGAUCGAUCUGCCAACCCUGCCAAAGUUCCAGGGGCGUAGCGGUCUCCGGCGAGCGCUUCUCUCAGUUACUGCCCGGAAACAUAGCAAUACUAA